rnacentral:rRNA from 1 species
UACAGAGGGUGCAAGCGUUAAUCGGAAUUACUGGGCGUAAAGCGUGCGCAGGCGGUUUUGUAAGCCAGAUGUGAAAUCCCCGGGCUUAACCUGGGAAUGGCAUUUGGGACUGCAAGGCUUGAGUGCGGCAGAGGAGACUGGAAUUCCUGGUGUAGCAGUGAAAUGCGUAGAUAAUCAGGAGGAACACCGAUGGCGAAGGCAGGUCUCUGGGCUGACACUGACGCUCA